CGGUAAACGGCGGCCGUAACUAUAACGGUCCUAAGGUAGCGAAAUUCCUUGUCGGGUAAGUUCCGACCUGCACGAAUGGCGUAAUGAUGGCCAGGCUGUCUCCACCCGAGACUCAGUGAAAUUGAACUCGCUGUGAAGAUGCAGUGUACCCGCGGCAAGACGGAAAGACCCCGUGAACCUUUACUAUAGCUUGACACUGAACAUUGAGCCUUGAUGUGUAGGAUAGGUGGGAGGCUUUGAAGUGUGGACGCCAGUCUGCAUGGAGCCGACCUUGAAAUACCACCCUUUA
rnacentral:rRNA from 1 species